UUGACGGGGCCCGCACAAGCGGUGGAGCAUGUGGUUUAAUUCGACGCAACGCGAAGAACCUUACCAGGGCUUGACAUCCCCUGACCGCGUAUGAAAGUACGUUUUCACCCUCGGGUGACAGGGAGACAGGUGGUGCACGGGUUGUCGUCAGCUCGUGUCGUGAGAUGUUGGGUUAAGUCCCGCAACGAGCGCAGCCCCUACGUUUAGUUGCUAACGCGUGAAGGCGAGCACUCUAGACGAACUGCCGUUGACAAAACGGAGGAAGGUGGGGAUGACGUCAAAUCAUCAUGCCCCUUAUGUUCUGGGCUACACACGUGCUACAAUGGCCGGUACAGACGGACGCAAAGCCGCGAGGUGGAGCAAAUCCUAAAAAGCCGGUCUCAGUUCGGAUUGCAGGCUGCAAUUCGCCUGCAUGAAGUCGGAAUCGCUAGUAAUCGCGGAUCAGCAUGCCGCGGUGAAUACGUUCCCGGGCCUU
rnacentral:rRNA from 1 species